rnacentral:rRNA from 1 species
CCUACGGGUGGCAGCAGUGAGGAAUAUUGGUCAAUGGACGCAAGUCUGAACCAGCCAUGCCGCGUGCAGGAAGACGGCUCUAUGAGUUGUAAACUGCUUUUGUACGAGGGUAAACGCAGAUACGCGUAUCUGUCUGAAAGUAUCGUACGAAUAAGGAUCGGCUAACUCCGUGCCAGCAGCCGCGGUAAUACGGAGGAUUCAAGCGUUAUCCGGAUUUAUUGGGUUUAAAGGGUGGGUAGGCGGUCGGAUAAGUUAGAGGUGAAAUCCCGAGGCUCAACUUCGGAAUUGCCUCUGAUACUGUUCGGCUAGAGCGUAGUUGCGGUAGGCGGAAUGUAUGGUGUAGCUGUGAAAUGCUUAGAGAUCAUACAGAACACCGAUUGCGAAGGCAGCUUACCAAGCUACUUCUGACGUUGAGGCACGACAGCGUGGGGAGCAAACAGGAUUAGAUACCCCUGUAGUC